rnacentral:rRNA from 1 species
GCGUGAGUGAUGAAGGCUUUCGGGUCGUAAAACUCUGUUGUUAGGGAAGAACAAGUACGAGAGUAACUGCUCGUACCUUGACGGUACCUAACCAGAAAGCCACGGCUAACUACGUGCCAGCAGCCGCGGUAAUACGUAGGUGGCAAGCGUUAUCCGGAAUUAUUGGGCGUAAAGCGCGCGCAGGCGGUUUCUUAAGUCUGAUGUGAAAGCCCACGGCUCAACCGUGGAGGGUCAUUGGAAACUGGGGAACUUGAGUGCAGAAGAGAAAAGCGGAAUUCCACGUGUAGCGGUGAAAUGCGUAGAGAUGUGGAGGAACACCAGUGGCGAAGGCGGCUUUUUGGUCUGUAACUGACGCUGAGGCGCGAAAGCGUGGGGAGCAAACAGGAUUAGAUACCCUGGUAGUCCACGCCGUAAACGAUGAGUGCUAAGUGUUAGAGGGUUUCCGCCCUUUAGUGCUGCAGCUAACGCAUUAAGCACUCCGCCUGGGGAGUACGGUCGCAAGACUGAAACUCAAAGGAAUUGACGGGGA